CUUCUCCUCUUACUUGUUUGUAUGUUGCAAAUUUUAAAUGGGGAAACUUGAACUAUCAAAAACAGAUUUUCCUCCAGAGAACAGGCAUCAGGGCUUAUAUAAGAUCUGGUACUUUUAUUUGGGUGGCCUAAGAAUAACUUAGCUAGCCUCGCAAGAGGAAGGAUGUGUCCACCUUCUCAGUUACCACUAAUAGCAUCCUCUGUCUUUGCUUGAUGUAGAAUCUUUUAGAUCAUGACUAAAGCCUGGACAAGCUUCUCUGGAACCAAUGACAGGGAGUCCUUCAAAGUGAGUGCUCUGGCCCAUGGUGGGAUUUGAUUUAUCUUACCGAAUCAGCUUGUCACAAGUCUAAAUUAUUCAUUUCUUGGCCAGAGUGACAAGCCAUAGAACACUUGUUUGCAGCCACCUGAUUUCUACUGGACUCACAGCAUCAAAGGAGCAAAGAAACAUUUGUCCUGAUUGAAAGCUGAGUCACAUAGAGAGGGGUCGAAGGACUGAAUGGAAAUGAAGAGGUAAACAUGAAAAUGAAAAUGUUGAGAAGGCUGGUAUUGGAUGCCUGGAGCUCACGUGCUGACUGCAAGCAGAAUGGAAGAUAUUGAGGACGUUACUGGGGAGAGAAGAUAAUGGAGAAGGUGGAAAAGCUCCAGGGAAAUAAGACUUGAUUUCAGGACUCCUCUGGUGCUGAGAGUUGAUUGGCUACAGUCAGUCUACAGCCUUGCUUUGCGGGUGGUGGAGAGAAUAUCAAGACCUAGGCUCCCCUGAUCUCCCUGCAUCCCCGUCGUUUUUGGCAAUGUCGCUAAUCGGCCCAGCAGCCUGAAUCCACACGUCCCAGCGUCCAGGUUCUGCAAGGUGCAGCUGGUCUCGGGCCCUGUCUCAGAAUACAGAAGUAAUCAGAAUUUAUUCACGUGGCUGACUGAGAGUUUUGACACCAAAGGGCAAUCCUGUCUGAUUGAUACCACUCAAACGGCAAUAUUGUUUGAAGAAAUGUAGUUAGAGAGAUGGCAAUUUAAAGGCUGUAAGAAGUUACAGGAAAAAGGUUUGCGAAUAGAGACUUUAAAUUACUCCUGUACCCUUGGCCCCAAGGAAGGCUCUCCAGACAGAAAGUUGCCUGCAAGUCCUGGUGCUAGAUUUUGAGUAUGACACUGCUCUUCACUACUCUGUCC
rnacentral:lncRNA from 1 species